rnacentral:sRNA from 1 species
ACAAACCGAUUGCCGCAAACCUAAACCCACACACGUAUCGGCACAUGCGCCGGGGUGCCCGCAAGGGUCGGAUGCAUGGGAUACGUGGAGGCCUAACC